GUCCCAGUAGCACAAUGGACAGCGCGUUGGACUUCUAAUCCAAAGAUCGUCGGUGGGAUCUUUGGGGACAAAUCUGGGAUG